GGCGGGUUGCCCGAGCGGCCAAAGGGAUCUGACUGUAAAUCAGACGGCUCAGCCUUCGGGGGUUCGAAUCCCUCACCCGCCA
rnacentral:tRNA from 3 species